GGUGAAGAACGCAGCGAAAUGCGAUACGUAAUGUGAAUUGCAGAAUUCAGUGAAUCAUCGAGUCUUUGAACGCACAUUGCGCCCUCUGGUAUUCCGGAGGGCAUGCCUGUCCGAGCGUCAUUGCUACCCUCAAGCACGGCUUGUGUGUUGGGCCCCGUCCUCCUUCCGGGGGACGGGUCCGAAAGGCAGCGGCGGCACCGCGUCCGGUCCUCAAGCGUAUGGGGCUUUGUCACUCGCUUUGUAGGCCUGGCCGGCGCUUGCCGAUCAACCAAACUUUUUAUCAGGUUGACCUCGGAUCAGGUAGGGAUACCCGCUGAACUUAAGCAUAUCAAUAAGCGGAGGA
rnacentral:misc_RNA from 1 species